CCUUGGAGUGCGGUCAUUUCUGCUAUGUCUAUAUAUAUAUAGAAAGAAAAAUAAGAUAGCACUCUCAGGACUAUAAAUGAAAAUAAAACUUAACUUUUAAUGAGUUAAAUACAAAAUCGACAUUUCAGUCUGUUAAUUCCAGACUUUCAUCAGGAUUAAUACAAAUACAAUCAUAGUGAACAUAUAUAGUAAAAUACAAAUUGAUAAUCAACUUACCCUUCACCAAACCACUUGUUCCUCCCUCACAGCUCGGUCUGUCUCACACAUGGGUUCGGCCGGCGUCCGGACGUGCGACAAUGACGUCAUCACGUGGACGGACGGCUGGCAAUAUCAUUGGGAGCUAGUUGCUAGGAAAGAAAAGCUUCCUAGCAACUAGUAAACUAAAAUAAAUCACAAAAGAAAGAUAUGGGGGCACAAAUCUGUAGCAGCAUUACAAGAGGCAAAAAUUGAUAAACACCUCAAAUGGAGUUAUAUAGUUCCACAGAAUAGUGAUAGCUUAAGAUCCUCACUAAUAGGCACUAGUAAAAAGCAAUAACACUCACUAUGAGAAAACACAAAGUAAGUAUUAAUAUGACUGUGAAGAUAUAUACACACAGAAAAUUGAGGCUAAACUCAACCUACAUUACCCACUGAUUUGAAAUGCACCAGUCUAGGUGUCAUAACUUCAAGGCUGUUCCUAACCUAAUUAAAGGUACAGUACAAUUUGCAAAUACUUGAUAGAAAAAUGCUGGAAAUAAAAAAGGUACAUAUAUUUCUACCUAGAUUGUAAUGAAGCAACAAUAGUUAACCUGCCCUGUCAUGGGUAAUCAUCCACCUGCGAGCUGUAUUUUGUCAUAUCACCACAGCAUCCUAGUAUCAAAAUUCCAGAGAUCAAGUCAAUAAUGACGAGAAAUCUUACUAUUCCAUAAAAAACAAAAAACAAAAAAGGUCUAUAGUCUAUAUAUAGUAGUGAAGCUCCCUGUAACCCUGGCUGGGUACCUCCGCCAAGGACCACUCCCUAGCUGAAAAAGGGGAAAAACCGCAGCACUUCUGCCCACAGUCGCCAUGACUUGACUGGAACCACUCCUUCCUGGAGCUGAAUGGGGAAGUCGCUCUAGACACUCCCAGGCACUGGACGACACUCAGUCCUGGGAGCUCUAGUCCUUACAAGGACUUUCCCUUUGAAUCCCCUGCAAGCUGGAACAGCAGACACAGGGGCUAAAUCUUCCUUCCCUCUAAUAACAGGGCGACACAGUUUUUGAGCGCAAGCUGGAAUUCUUUAAUGGCAGCCACAACUGGCCUUAUAUGCAUGUCCCCAUGCAAGGGGCACUCCCCCCUGAACCUGAGAGUAAACCCCAGUAGAAACAAAUACACAAUUACAUGGGCUCUCAGAUCCAGGACACUCCCAUACAUAAUGAGAUAAUCCCUCAUCUGUGCCUGGGAGAUAAUUGGAUCAGGAACUGUGCUAAUCUAAUCCAAAUUAUCAAGCACAGAAAAUAAUAUACUUUUUCAAAAAUACCAUAAAAAUACAUAAAACCCCUGAUAGUCCUGAUCUGGGUGACCAACAUAUCCAAAAAUCACCCAGAUCAGUUCAGGGGUUCAGGAAUUUCCUGGAAGUAAUUUGCUUGACCGACCGCAUGCAUGGACCCAUACCCAAAAUAGUUCCAUAGAAUAGUUCAGUAGUUUAAAAAUAAACAAACUACCGAACAUAGUCAAUGAUUUUACCCUGGAGCUUGUUCCGACGAAUGAUUCCACUGAACAGUGUCUUCCUAGGUGUUAUAAAACCGAACAUAGACGAUCAUGGAAGUCCAAUGGUGUUUGGGAGUUUCAGUGUCCGAAAAUAGUUCCAUGAACUCGACGACCAAACACCACUGCCUAUGUUCAUGCGAACAAGAUGGCCGCAACUUCAUGGCCAUCCAUAGGAAAUGCAGCCACCCAGGCGAACAUUAACAAGCUCCAGGUCUCCGAUUCCUACAGCUGUCCGGUUCCCAAACCAUAUAGUCCAAAUACACGAAUGGAGACUUUUACAUCACAUUUUACAAGGUCCAUAGUCUGUGGGAAGGAGGCUGGCAAGCAGGCAGCUCCAGGAACUCGUGGCAAACUCACUUGAAAAGGGGAGUUUGUCACAUGUAUAUAUACUUGUUUCCCUUUACCUGGUCUGACAGACAGGGUGGAGGGAGACAAGCUCCUCUAACUUAGUCCGCUCAGCCAUGCUACAAGGAGGAGGUAAGCUGGCACAAGGGGGUAGAGGGGGUAAGACACAUAGAGGGGGUAAAGGGAGGAAAUUAGACACAUGGGCCAUUGCCCCCUGCCCUCGAUCUGCCACUGCGUCCAGUGUCAGACAACGGACCAAAAGUCCGUUACGAUUCCGGAAGAUCUCUAGUGGCUGUCUAGUAGACAGCAACUGAG
rnacentral:lncRNA from 1 species